rnacentral:rRNA from 1 species
CCUACGGGAGGCUGCAGUCGAGAAUCAUUCACAAUGGGGGAAACCCUGAUGGUGCGACGCCGCGUGGGGGAAUGAAGGUCUUCGGAUUGUAAACCCCUGUCAUGUGGGAGCAAAUUAAAAAGAUAGUACCACAAGAGGAAGAGACGGCUAACUCUGUGCCAGCAGCCGCGGUAAUACAGAGGUCUCAAGCGUUGUUCGGAAUCACUGGGCGUAAAGCGUGCGUAGGCUGUUUCGUAAGUCGUGUGUGAAAGGCGCGGGCUCAACCCGCGGACGGCACAUGAUACUGCGAGACUAGAGUAAUGGAGGGGGAACCGGAAUUCUCGGUGUAGCAGUGAAAUGCGUAGAUAUCGAGAGGAACACUCGUGGCGAAGGCGGGUUCCUGGACAUUAACUGACGCUGAGGCACGAAGGCCAGGGGAGCGAAAGAGAUUAGAUACCCGAGUAGUC